CUACGGGGGGCACCAGUGGGGAAUCUUGCGCAAUGGGCGAAAGCCUGACGCAGCAAUGCCGCGUGAGUGAAGAAGGCCUUCGGGUCGUAAAGCUCUUUAUCUCAGGGAAGAUGAUGACGGUACCUGAGGAAUAAGCACCGGCUAACUACGUGCCAGCAGCCGCGGUAAUACGUAGGGUGCGAGCGUUGUUCGGAAUUACUGGGCGUAAAGGGCGUGUAGGCGGAACUAUAAGCUAGGGGUGAAAUCCCGGGGCUCAACCCCGGAUGUGCUCUUAGAACUGUAGAUCUAGAGAGGGUCAGAGGCUAGCAGAAUUCCUGGUGUAGAGGUGAAAUUCGUAGAUAUCAGGAGGAAUACCGGUGGCGAAAGCGGCUGGCUGGGGCCACUCUGACGCUGAGGCGCGAAAGCGUGGGGAGCAAACAGGAUUAGAUACCCGCGUAGUC
rnacentral:rRNA from 1 species